ensembl:lncRNA
GCUCCAUCACCUGGAAUACAGCCACAGCCCCGAAAGAAAAUCAACAAAGGCUGCGUGGCUUUUACUGCUGAUGGAACCAAACUUUCCAAAUACACAUCAAGGGCUCAAUAUGAUUCCGCUGAACUUCUCCCAGCGACCCACAGUUCAAACAAAGACCUCGAGUCAAGAGUGCCACAGCACAGGGAACGCUGCCAGGCCCAGCGGAGCACUCACCACUUCACUCCCAAACAGGCUUGUACCUACCGGCAACCCAGCCAUGGCCAGCUCAUGAUCUUGGACCCCUGCCUACUUCCCUCAAAGCAGGCAAAGGCCAUCGAGUUCGUAUUGGGCUUGAAAUUAAUGAUUGCGAUAACAUAACGAAUGGCGUGGGCAGCGGAGAUGAUUGCUGCUUUGGAGAGGGAGCACCAAGACGACUGCAAACUCUGCCCCUUGACUCUGCCUCGGUGAGGAGGGGAGAGGAAGACGCCAAGCGGAUGGAGCAGCAGAACACACACAGUUGCACAGCAUUUUCCCAUUCAAUUCCUGAUGCAGCUUUCCAAUACUUAAAGGUGCUCGUGGUAGACUUACAGUCAAGAUGUCCUGAAAAACCCCCUGAAGGUCAGUCUCUUUCUUUCCUAUCAUACCAAGUGUCCCAAGAAAGGCACAGGCUCAGAUGGCAGAGACUGCUUUAGUGAAGCAUGGGCAGAGGUUGCCCAGAGAGGAGGCAGAAGACCCACCCCUACAGACACUCAAGGCCAGGCUGGAGGGAGCUCUGAGCAACCCGAUGUAACCUUAGGUGUUCCUGUUCAUUGCUGGGGAGUUGGACAAGGUGGCCUUUAAGGGUCCCUUCCAACUGAAAUGGUUCUAUGAUUCUACCCCAUGUGCCACGAUGACUGAUUAACCUGGUCCGACUCCAAGCUCCUUCCAACAUGGAACAACAUAACAUCACCUGCAAUCCCCUCUGCAGCUGAGAGCUAUGCUGCCCCAUGGCUCUGCUUAUUCUCCACAUUGCUGCUUGGAAAGUUCCAAUAUCAUUACAUCAACAUCAUCAUGUGAAAGCCCUCCCUUUUUAAUUUUUGCCCUCUAUCCAUUUAACUUUAGGACUUAGAGUUCUACAGAAAGGCCAGGGUGUAUCUUCUGAUCCUGGCCUUGACGAUAAAGGUUUGGGAGUUUUUGUUCAUAACUGUUACUUGCUGUCUGCCUCAGAAAAUUCAUCAGCCCUAAUUUUUUUCUUGUUGCAUUUGUUAUUUCUCACCAAUGGGGGUGUAACACAGCUCUAUAUAUGGUCAGGAAAGAUCUUCAAGUAAAUUGAAAGAGGUACAGGAUGUUUGCUCACUGACAUCUCAAACCAAAGCCAGAGAGUGCUCUGCUAGAGUUUGGCUCUUGUAGCGUGAGCUGUUACCAUUUGGUGGCUAAUGUCUAUUAAUUAACAGGACAGAGUUGUGCAAAAUCAGUCCUGUCAGGAAGCAAAUAAAGCACAAUAGCUUUGAAAAUGCUCACAACGAAUCCUUGGAGUGGCCUGCAGAUGAUGAGCAGCCAGCAAAGCACAGAGGUCUGCCAGGGGCCCAGGCUCCCAGCAGCAGGGCCUAAGAAACCCAUUACUGUGAUGCGGACACACAAAGCAACUGGAAGUCUAACAACUCGGGCCUCGUCCUCAGUGGGGCUCACAGGGCCUGCUCCAUCAGAACCCCCUGCACCUCACUCACUAGAGAAUCAAAGGAGCAAACUUCCAAGAAACUACAUUGUACACCAGAGACAUUACCACAGCAUGCCUGCUACACUGCCAGACUUCACUGCCCCAAGGCAAAACCAUACUAUUUCCUGGGACAUAACAGAACCUACAGAUUAAAAAUUAGUGUUUUGUAACUUAUAUAUUAAUAAAAUUAUAUACUUUAUGAAGGCUGCUUCAAAAGCAAUGCCUCUUAGUUUAUGUUCACCCACAACACCAGAGGCAUAUGCUGAUCAGAUGGCAGAAGAGGUUGAAGCUUCCUGCCAAUAACCCAUUACAUGUUGUUGCCAUGUGACAGAUGGCAGCAGAGGGGCAGUCUGACACAAUGGCAUCUGACAUGGAAGUGCUCAUGAAGAAAAGGUGCGUCACUGAAUUCCUCCAUUCAGAAAAAAUGGCACCCACUGACACUUGUUGAACACUGAUGGAGACCAAACAGUGGAUGUGAGCACAGUGAGGCAGUGUGGGUGAUGCGGUUGACAGCAGGUCACCUCUGGUGUAGAUGUUCACGAGCACAGCAUGCAGGUUCUUGUUCAUUGCUGGCAAAAAUGCAGAGCUAGUGGUGGUGGCUGUGUUAUCAAAUAGUGUUUUUGUAGCUAAUAAUUUGCUCUAUCAAAUAGUGUUAUUGUGCUCUUUAUAUCUCUUGUACUUUCCAUGGAAAUAAAUAGAUGGCAUUACUUUUGGAGUGACCUACAUAGUACACACUAAAUCAUCCAGCUCGCUAGCUGACCUUCACCAUAUGCAGCACAGGAUGCAAAAAGCCCUGAGAAACUCAGUGAGUGCUGAGAGUGGUUAGACCAUGAGUGUUGCUGUGGUUUUUCAGCACCAGAGAAACAAAGGCAGACAGCUGAAAGCCUUGGUAUAGUGCACUGUGGCCUGCUGAAGUGCAUACAUGCUCUACAGUCCAGGCACACUUGAUGGACAUAUAUGUAGGAACAAGAUGGAGGGAGUCAGAAAGCACAACUGACAC